AUCGAACGCUGGCGGCAGGCCUAACACAUGCAAGUCGAGCGAGCGGCGGACGGGUGAGUAAUGUCUGGGAAACUGCCUGAUGGAGGGGGAUAACUACUGGAAACGGUAGCUAAUACCGCAUACCAUCAGAUGUGCCCAGAUGGGAUUGGCUAGGAGUUGGGGUAACGGCUUACCUAGGCGACGAGCCCUCGCUGGUCUGAGAGGAUGACCAGCCCACCUGGAACGGAGCCACGGUCCAGACUCCUACGGGAGGCAGCAGUGGGGAAUCUUGCGCAAUGGGCGCAAGCCUGAUGCAGCCAUGCCGCGUGUGUGAGGAAGGCCUUCGGGUUGUAAAGCACUGUCAGCGGGGAGGCGUUACCCGCAGAAGAAGCGCCGGCUAACUCCGUGCCAGCAGCCGCGGUAAUAC
rnacentral:rRNA from 1 species